GAUGAACGCUGGCGGCGUGCCUAAUACAUGCAAGUCGAGCGAACAGACGAGGCGCUUGCUCCUCUGACGUUAGCGGCGGACGGGUGUGUAACACGUGGAUAACCUACCUAUAAGACUGGGAUAACUUCGGGAAACCGGCGCUUAUACCGGAUAAUAUAUUGAACCGCAUGGUUCAAUAGUGAAAGACGGUUUUGCUGUCACUUAUAGAUGGAUCCGCGCCGCAUUAGCUAGUUGGUAAGGUAACGGGUUACGAAGGGUAGGAUGCGCAGCCGACCUGAUGGGGUGAUCGGCCACACUGGAACUUAGACACGGACCAGACGCCUACGGGAGGCAGCAGUAGGGAAUCUGCCGCAAAGGGCGAAAGCAUUACGGAGCAACGCCGCGUGAGUUAUGAAGGUCUUCGGAUCGUAAAACUCUGUUAUUAGGGAAGAACAAAUGUGUAAGUAACUAUGCACGUCUUGACGGUACCUAAUCAGAAAGCCACGGCUAACUACGUG
rnacentral:rRNA from 1 species